GCAGCAGGCCGGUCUGCCGCCCGCCACUUUCGGGAGGCGGGAGGAAAGUCCGGGCAACACAGAGCGCCAUCCUUCCUAACGGGAAGCUGUCCGCGAGGGCAGAGCAGUGUAACAGAAAAUAACCGCCGCACGCGUUGCGGCAAGGGUGAAAAGGCGAGGUAAAAGCUCACCGUUCAUGUGGCGACACGUGAAGCCGUACACCUGAUGGGUUGCAAGGUCAUGUAUACCGGCAAUACAGGGUGGCUCGCCCGAUGCCGGGGGGUAGACCGCACGAGCCUGCCGGCAACGGCAGGCCAAGAUGAAUGGCAGACGCUUCCCCGCCCCGCAAAAGGCAGGGAAGAACAGAACCCGGCUUACAGGCCGGCUGCAUCU
rnacentral:RNase_P_RNA from 1 species